rfam:Gossypium hirsutum cultivar TM-1 chromosome 1, whole genome shotgun sequence
AACCCAUGGUGAGGGCACCUGCUCAAUAAAUCAUCGUAUCUCUCCCAUUCAUCAUAUAAAGUCUCUAAAUUGAUCUGCACAGAGGAGGAGCUAUCAUUCCUCAACUU